GAUGAACGCUGGCGGCGUGCCUAAUACAUGCAAGUCGAGCGAACAGACGAGGAGCUUGCUCCUCUGACGUUAGCCGCGGACGGGUGAGUAACACGUGGAUAACCUACCUAUAAGUCUGGGAUCAUCUCGGGAAACCGGAGCUAAUACCGGAGAAUAUAUUGAUCCGCAUUGUUCAAUAGUGAGAGACGGUGUUUGUGUCACUUAUAGAUGGAUCCGGGCCGUAUUAGCUGGUUGGGAAGUUAACGGCUUACCAGGGCAACGAGGCGUAGCCGACCGGAGAGGGUGGUAGCCGGCCUGGGAGCGUAGCCAGGGUCAAGACGACUACGAGAGGCAGCAGUAGGGAAUCGUACGCAGUGGGGGGAAACUUGGCGGAGCAACGGGGAGUGAGUGGUGAAGGCCUUGGGAUCGGGAAACUCUGUUAUGAGGGAAGAACAAAUGUGUAAGGAGAUGUGCAGGUCUUGACGGUACCGAGUCAGAAAGCCCCGGCUAACUACGUG
rnacentral:rRNA from 1 species